rnacentral:misc_RNA from 1 species
UGGCUCUCGCAUCGAUGAAGAACGCAGCGAAAUGCGAUAAGUAAUGUGAAUUGCAGAAUUCAGUGAAUCAUCGAAUCUUUGAACGCACCUUGCGCCCGUUGGUAUUCCGAUGGGCAUGCCCGUUUGAGUGUCUUGAAAUCUUCAAGCCCCCUCUUUGUCGCGAGGCGAGGAUCGGGUUUGGACUUGGGGGUCCUGCUGCCUCACAGGCGGCUCCCCUUAAAUACAUCGGCUGGGGUUCGGGACUUCAGUGCUGCCGAAGGCGUUGUAACACCCUCGCUCGCGGCAGCCGUCCUAUAAUGACCCUCUGCCUCGACCUGCCUCUGGAGCGGCGGUCAGCUUAAACUUUAGACUCUGACCUCAAAUCGGGCAGGACUACCCGCUGA